CAAUUUUUGGCCAUUCACGACCCCGCAUGUCAGCUCGGCUGUGACGUCCAGCAGCUUGUCCUUGACCUUCACCUCGUCUACCUUCAAGACAAAAGAUAAUAAGGGAUGAGGACCCCUGACCAUUUUUUGGGUGAUCCUCGGAGGGAAUACCUUGUUGAGGACAAGUACCGCUGGGAUGGACGGAUGGCGUGCCAGACAUUUGAGCACUUCAAAGUCAAGCCUUCUGCACAUCCAUCUGUCCGACACAUCAACCAUGACCACAACUGUGAACAGACAGGCAGGCCGAGCAGAUGUCUCCGCAAACGUCCAAACACGCCGGCUGUUUGUUAGUCCUGGAGGACUUCGCUCAGGGUGCAGCACACACCUCCAGUGGGGAAGGAUGAUGAAGGAUAUCAGGUAGCUCACAAUCUGUCAUCAUCAAACACGAAAAGCUCUUCAACCACGACCGCGCAAGACAAAAACGGAGCUUUUACCUGACACUUUACUGCGGAAUUCAAAGUGAGGCAAAGACCAAAAGGAUAUUUGAGGAUCAGGAAACUUUCGCCCCUCUGCCUUCCUCCCACUCGCUCACUCACUCACAUUCAUUCAAGGCCUGCACCCCCUCAGGGUUUUCCUCACAUGACCGUUUCACGUGGGCGUGUAUCAGACUGCUCUCUAUGACUGCAUUAACUUUGGCCUUCAGGAAGAGCACUCUGGCUAAAAAAGGAUUUGCCCACAGACCAUUUAAUCAUAAGCUGUAGCCCACAUUGCCAUUUGAAGAGCACUUGCCAAUAAGACUUCACGUGCUUCGAUGAAAACCUCGCCGCGCUUCUACAUUUCAGUCAAUCAAUUCGAUGUAAUUAACAUGCGGCGUGUGACAUAUAUGACAGAACAAGGUGACAUCAGGCAUCGCAUUUUAUGCUCCAGUGCUAACACUAGCUGGGAUCAGACACGCACUAACUGGCAGUGCCUCCUCGAAUAAGACCUGGCUGCUCAUGAGGAAUAACAAAGUUCACGGAAUAAUAAGCACAUGAGCCAUGGAGGCAUGUCAUUGAGGAGCAGAAGUGGGAAGAGGGGGAACAAUGUGUCAGUGCAUCACAGCAUCCAUCACACCCUGAUUGCAUUGAGAGGUGUGAUGCCUCACAGCUGGCUGGCUGCAGAGGCCCCACCAUCCUUACACAUUUAACUUUUUUUUUUACCAAUAUGCAACUUUUGACUGCUUAUCAAUCAGACUCCACAUCAUGUGACAGACCCUCGAGGUCCCUUCACCCAGCAAUCACUGUUCUGUCCUUGCACCGGCUACCUUUUUUCUUAAAGCGGCAAUUUAACCCCCAAACUAACCGUACAGGUCACACUCACGCUCUGAUUGUACAAUCUCUUUCACAGCGGGGGAGAUCAAGUAAAGACUUCCAAUCGAUGCAACUUGCCCGCCGAGGGAAUCAAUAAUGACUCCCUUUGAAAUCAUCAGUCAUGUCAUCGGUGAAUAUAAAGAGCAUAAUUGGGAACGGCGUUCUUUUAACAUCGAGUAUUGAUGUCGUCUUUGCUACGGAGUGAGAGAGCAGCAUUCUGCAUCAUUAACUUUGUAUUAUUUCCUACUGGAGCCUGCUGCUACUGCUGCUUCCCCACCUGCUGAACUUUAAGCGCUGCAUGUGAUUGGGCUUUCACGCCACAUUUAUCCUUCUUUCAGUCACUGAUGUGGAGAGUGAGGCUUGCCGGCAGAAUUUAGCAGCAGCAUUAUAAUACAUGUAAUGCAGCCCGGGUGUUGGAAAGUGAGUACCGGUAUUUGGAAUAGUUUAUUCCAGGAAUGUCAGAGAAGUCGGCUACAGGUUCCUCCAUCCAUCCAUCGCCUUGAGGCAAACAAACAUUUACUGUCUUUGGACAAUUCACUGACAAGGAUACAAAAAGGAUGAUUCACGGGUAUCAAAAAUAACACGAGACUUUUUCAAAAACGCAAAACUAGAAAAGCACCGUUAAAAACUAGGAACAAAAGCAGUGACAAAAGUUCUCAGCAAAGUUGAACACAUAUAAACUCACAAAGCACAAGAAACAAAAGCAUUGACUCUUAGUAACACAUUGAAUUGUUCCUAAAAUGAUCAAUCAGCGGCAAGGCUGGACUGGCCAUCGAGCAUAGCAGGCUAGCGUCAUCAGGAGCUGAUGUGAUGUAAUUAAUUAAUAUUUUUGCAUUUGAUUGUUUUUAAAUUAAAAAAAUACCUCUUUUUUUCCAGGCCCACAAAUCAGAGGGAACAGCCCAUCUUGCCAUUUACAAAAUAGACAUUAAAGUGAACCAAUCAACAUCCUUGACAGAGUAAAUCAGUAGUCGGGAUUCAUAUUCUAGAAUAUUUAAACAUAAAAUAUUUUAUAAAAUAAUUUCAUCCAAAUUCUGUGAAUAAAUGGCAAAAAUAAAACAGGUUUUGUGAGAAGGAAAAGACCUGUUGCAUUUGUUUUAUUCCUGUCCAAAUGUUGGCAUGCUCUGGAGGACUAUUCAACUUUUGUGAAAGUAAUUUGGGGUUAUUUUUGUGUCACUGUGAUACCCUCAGUAUGUUGUUUCUCCUUUUAACGUCACUUUGUGGCAGAAGUUCAAACUGCUUUCUCUCUUUCUGAUAAUAAACUGACAUCGAUACUAAG